rnacentral:rRNA from 1 species
AAGACCUUGCGCUUUCGGAGCGGCCGAUGUCUGAUUAGCUUGUUGGUGAGGUAAAGGCUUACCAAGGCUUCGAUCAGUAGCUGGUCUGAGAGGACGGCCAGCCACACUGGGACUGAGACACGGCCCAGACUCCUACGGGAGGCAGCAGUGGGGAAUUUUGGACAAUGGGGGCAACCCUGAUCCAGCCAUGCCGCGUGAGUGAAGAAGGCCUUCGGGUUGUAAAGCUCUUUCAGCCGGAACGAAACGGUUACGAUUAAUACCCGUAACUACUGACGGUACCGGAAGAAGAAGCACCGGCUAACUACGUGCCAGCAGCCGCGGUAAUACGUAGGGUGCGAGCGUUAAUCGGAAUUACUGGGCGUAAAGCGUGCGCAGGUGGUUUUGUAAGUCAGAUGUGAAAUCCCCGGGCUUAACCUGGGAACU